GAGGAAACAAAUGAGCUUGACCAGGUAUGUACUUUUAUGGACCCUUGUAAUGAAUAUUGUGGUAGUGUUUAAUUGAAAACUAAAUGAAAGUGAUAAUAUAACCGAUAGUUUCAAGUCUAGGAAAUUUUAACAAGCUAUGAAUUGAGGUUAACAUGAGAUUUGCUUGUUGAUUUAUCUGCAUCAGUAUCUAUUUAGAAGGUUCGGCUAUGUUAUAUGGUAGUGAGCGUUGGGCACUGAAAGAGUUGCAUGUGUAGAGGUGGACCUAAACUGACUUGGAGG
rnacentral:misc_RNA from 1 species